CCCUUAGACGUUCUGGGCCGCACGCGCGCUACACUGACGAAGGCAACGAGCUUUCCUUUACCGAAAGGUACGGGUAAUCUUUUGAAACUUCGUCGUGCUGGGGAUAGAUCCUUGCAAUUUUUGAUCUUAAACGAGGAAUGCCUAGUAAGCGCAAGUCAUCAACUUGCGUUGAUUACGUCCAUGCCCUUUGUACACACCGCCCGUCGCUACUACCGAUUGAAUGGUUUAGUGAGGCCUUCGGAUCCGCGACUCGUUUGUGGAGAAGUUGGACAAACUCAGUCAUUUAGAGGAAGUAAAAGUCGUAACA
rnacentral:rRNA from 1 species